AUGCAAACUAUCUUUCUAUUGUCAAUCAUGCAAAAAACUCUCACGAGCAGGGACAAAGCAUGGGUUUCCAACAAUUACAUCAUUCGAGCCAUUCCAUCAAAUAUGUCCUUCAAAUUAAAGGAAUUAAAAAAUUUAUCAACAACUAAGCCUUAUCCCACCAAGUGGAAUAGGAUACAUGAAUCAAAUUCCGCCAUAAUGUUCUAUGCCGGAUCAUGUUUCUAUCCAACUCAUUAA